AAUAGAUACCCAGGUAGUCCACGCCGUAAACGAUGAGUGCUAGGUGUUAGGGGGUUUCCGUCCCUUAGUGCUGCAGCUAACGCAUUAAGCACUCCGCCUGGGGAGUACGGUCGCAAGACUGAAACUCAAAGGAAUUGACGGGGGCCCGCACAAGCGGUGGAGCAUGUGGUUUAAUUCGAAGCAACGCGAAGAACCUUACCAGGUCUUGACAUCCCGCUGACCGCCAUGGAGACAUGGCUUUCCCUUCGGGGACAGCGGUGACAGGUGGUGCAUGGUUGUCGUCAGCUCGUGUCGUGAGAUGUUGGGUUAAGUCCCGCAACGAGCGCAACCCUUGUCCUUAGUUGCCAUCAUUCAGUUGGGCACUCUAAGGAGACUGCCGUACAAAUACGGAGGAAGGUGGGGAUGACGUCAAAUCAUCAUGCCCCUUAUGACCUGGGCUACACACGUGCUACAAUGGGUGGUACAAAGGGCAGCAAACCCGGCGAGGGGGAGCGAAUCCCGAAAAAGCCACUCUCAGUUCGGAUUGCAGGCUGCUAACG
rnacentral:rRNA from 1 species